GGCGUGGGCGGCUCUUCCUCCUCUCUCUCGGAGAAGCCGACAGCCUGCCCCGAAGGGCAUCUCUGCGGGAGUGCGGGGGCCGGCACCCGCUGUUCGGGGACUUCUCCGGGGCCCUUGCCUGUCCCCCGCCCUUCCUGUACCCGACCCUGCGGCCCUUCCCUUGUCUGCGACACUGCGCCGCGCACCCCCAAGGCACUCGGCUGGGACACCUUUCUUCGGGACCAUGAUAUACUUUUCGUUAUUACUGAGCUGUCGUAAAUAAUUUAACCUUGAAAGUGGCUUAUUUCAACACACGGCCCAUCACUGGCACUGCCAAGUCGCCAUCUCUGAGCUGUCUGCAGCCCUUUCCUUCGCACCCGGGUGGCUUUGGAGGAGGAUGGGCUCCGUCAGUGGUGGAGUAGGCGUCAAGUGUUCAUGAAGUGAGAAAGUCCACUCUUCUUUUUCAGGAGGUUUUUCAGAUUGAGCUGUCUGUAUAUUGACUCGCUGAGAGGGACUGCAGUCUGUUUCAGUGAUGAAUGAGGUUCAGAAGAGUUAUAAGUACAAGCUGCAGCUCUGUGGAGUUUGGAGAACUACCUCUGCAGCGACUUUCCACCUGGCAAGACUUGCAUUUGCUUUAUGGGAUGAUGGCACAGUUGUGAAAAACUGAGGAGAAAGACUCAGAGGGAGAGCAGCUACACAGGUCAA